rnacentral:rRNA from 1 species
GACGAACGCUGGCGGCGCGCUUAACACAUGCAAGUCGAGCGAGAACCAGGGCUUCGGCCCUGGGGACAGCGGCGAACGGGUGAGUAACACGUGGAUAACCUGCCCUCGGCACCGGGAUAGCCCGGGGAAACUCGGAUUAAUACCGGAUGGCCCUUUCGGCUCUCGAGCCGGUCGGAAAAGGUAGCUUCGGCCUCCGGCCGAGGAUGGGUCCGCGGCGGAUUAGCUUGUUGGUGGGGUAACGGCCCACCAAGGCUC